UACGUGAGGGGCGAACGUUGUUCGGUGUCACUGGGCUUAAAGGGUGCGUAGGUGGCUUCGUAAGUAAGGAGUGAAAUCCCUCGGCUUACCCGGGGAAUUGCUUUUUAUACUGCGAGGCUUGAGGAUCAGAGGGGAAAGAGGAACUCCGAGUGUAGCGGUGAAAUGCGCAGAUAUUCGGGGGAAGGCCGGCGGCGAAGGCGUCUUUCUGGCUGAUUCCUGACACUGAGGCACGAAAGCGUGGGGAGCAAACAGG
rnacentral:rRNA from 1 species